GUGGCAUGUGCCUGUAGUCCCAACUAUUCGGGAGGCUGAAGCAGGAGAAUUACUUGAACCUGGGAGGCGGAGGUUGCAGUGAGCCAAGAUCGUGCCAUUGCACUCCAGCCUGGGUAACAAGAGCGAAACUCUGUCU